UUCUAGAUCAUAGACAUCAAGCACAUUGAUGCCACAAAUUAUAGACAAGGUGACUUUAUUUUUUAUUUACAGGUUCUUGGGUUUCUAAUGUUGCAUGACAGACUUUAUGAGAAGUCAUGUCCAUUGAACAAAAAGGACAAAGACUAUACAGUAACCCGUUGGCUGCUAGCCUGCUACCCUUGAAUAUCCCCUUUUACUUCAUGAAAAUGUAAACAGGCCCUCUUGAUUUGAGAGUAACUCCUUUGCUACUUAUCAUGGAUUUCAUCCAUUGGUGAAAGCCAAUGACAACCAGGAGGAAAAGAGUGUGCUGGUCGAAUGGGGACUUGCAAGCUUAAGUCGGAAGCCAUAAGGAUAUGAUUAAUCGUUCUCGUAAUAACUGUUCCUCAACUCUUCGCUCUUUUUCCGGUUUCUCCUACCAUCUCCCUGUCUGCAGUCAAUUAAGGCAGUCUCCCCCUGUCUUGAUUGACUCCAUGUGCGAGUUUUUAAAGCAAUUUAUCUCCCAAAUAACACAAAAGAAGUUGGUUAGGUUUGUUUUAUUUGGGUAUAAAUUGUUUUAUAACUUGUACUAAUAAUCAAAUGCCUUGUACCGGACGCUCUGUUUAUUAAAUUUUUGAUAUUUUUGGGAAAAAUUAAUAAAAUGUAUUUAAGUUAA